AUACCCACCUGGCGUCGGGAUACCGUGAUCAUGCAGGUGGUUCCCCCGGGUUGCGGCUGAUCCAUUGCACUGUGGAGUGGUUGACCCUUGCGAUUAUUUUUAUAUUUUAUAAGUUUCAAUUCUACCGUGUGUGACUUGCACACA
rnacentral:snRNA from 9 species